rnacentral:rRNA from 1 species
UUGGCAGCUGAAGGCGAUGAAGGACGUUGUAGCCUGCGAUAUGCCUCGGGGAGUCGGCAAACAGACUUUGAUCCGGGGAUUUCCGAAUGGGGAAACCCAUCCCACUUGUGGGAUAUCUGCACCUGAAUACAUAGGGUGUAGAGGCGAACUUGGGGAACUGAAAUAUCUAAGUACCCAAAGGAAAAGAAAUCAACCGAGAUUCCCUNAGUAGCGACGAGCGAACGGGGAGCAGCCCUUAAGUCNAUAUCUUGUUAGUGGAAGCUUCUGGAAAGUUGCGCGAUACAGGGUGAUAGCCCCGUACACGAAAACAAGUUAUNGAUGAAAUCGAGUAGGACGGGGCACGUGAAACCUUGUCUGAAUAUGGGGGGACCAUCCUCCAAGGCUAAAUACUCUCAGCUGACCGAUAGUGAACCAGUACCGUGAGGGAAAGGCGAAAAGAACCCCUGUGAGGGGAGUGAAAUAGAACCUGAAACCGGAUGCAUACAAGCAGUGGGAGCNCCUCUCGGGGUGUGACUGCGUACCUUUUGUAUAAUGGGUCAGCGAGUUAUUUUUACUGGCAAGGUUAACCGUNUAGGGGAGCCGUAGGGAAACCGAGUCUUAAUAGGGCGCCGUAGUCGGUAGGAAUAGACCCGAAACCGGGCGAUCUAGCCAUGGGCAGGUUGAAGGUUGAGUAACAUCAACUGGAGGACCGAACCCACUAAUGUUGAAAAAUUAGGGGAUGACCUGUGGUUAGGAGUGAAAGGCUAAUCAAGCCCGGAGAUAGCUGGUUCUCCUCGAAAUCUAUUUAGGUAGAGCCUCUCGUAUCACCNUNGGGGGUAGAGCACUGUUUGGGCUAGGGGGUCANCNNGACUUACCAACCCCAUGCAAACUCCGAAUACCGAUGAGUGCAGCGAGGGAGACACACGGCGGGUGCUAACGUCCGUCGUGNAAAGGGAAACAACCCAGACCGCCAGCUAAGGUCCCUAAAUUACAGUUAAGUGGGAAACGAUGUGGGAAGGCCNAGACAGCCAGGAGGUUGGCUUAGAAGCAGCCACCCUUUAAAGAAAGCGUAAUAGCUCACUGGUCGAGUCGGCCUGCGCGGAAGAUGUAACGGGGCUAAAACUGUAUACCGAAGCUGCGGAUGCAUACUUUGUAUGCAUGGUAGAGGAGCGUUCUGUACGCCUGUGAAGUCGAAUCGUAAGGUUCGGUGGAGGUAUCAGAAGUGCGAAUGCUGACAUGAGUAACGAUAAAGGAGGUGAAAAUCCUCCUCGCCGAAAGACCAAGGUUUCCUGCGCAACGUUCAUCGGCGCAGGGUUAGUCGGCCCCUAAGGCGAGGCCGAAAGGCGUAGUCGAUGGGAAACAGGUUAAUAUUCCUGUACCAAUUAUAGCUGCGAUGGGGAGACGGAGAAGGCUAGGCUGGCCUGGUGAUGGUUAUCCAGGUUUAAGCACGUAGGCUGGGGACUUAGGUAAAUCCGGGUUUCUAAGGCCGAGAUGUGAUGACGAACCGANCUUAUACGNUCGGGAAGUAGUUGAUGCCAUGCUUCCAAGAAAAUCCUCUAAGCUUCAGGCUAUAAAUGACCGUACCCCAAACCGACACAGGUGGUCGGGUAGAGAAUACCAAGGCGCUUGAGAGAACUCGGGUGAAGGAACUAGGCAAAAUGGCACCGUAACUUCGGGAGAAGGUGCGCCGCCGACGGUGAUCGGACUUGCUCCGUAAGCUGUUGGCGGUCGAAGAUACCAGGUGGCUGCGACUGUUUAUUAAAAACACAGCACUCUGCAAACACGUAAGUGGACGUAUAGGGUGUGACGCCUGCCCGGUGCCGGAAGGUUAAUUGAUGGGGUUAGCACUUGUGCGAAGCUCUUGAUCGAAGCCCCGGUAAACGGCGGCCGUAACAAUAACGGUCCUAAGGUAGCGAAAUUCCUUGUCGGGUAAGUUCCG